rnacentral:rRNA from 1 species
AAAUUGAAGAGUUUGAUCAUGGCUCAGAUUGAACGCUGGCGGCAGGCCUAACACAUGCAAGUCGAACGGUAACAGGAAUCAGCUUGCUGAUUCGCUGACGAGUGGCGGACGGGUGAGUAAUGUCUGGGAAACUGCCUGAUGGAGGGGGAUAACUACUGGAAACGGUAGCUAAUACCGCAUAACGUCGCAAGACCAAAGAGGGGGACCUUCGGGCCUCUUGCCAUCGGAUGUGCCCAGAUGGGAUUAGCUAGUAGGUGGGGUAAAGGCUCACCUAGGCGACGAUCCCUAGCUGGUCUGAGAGGAUGACCAGCCACACUGGAACUGAGACACGGUCCAGACUCCUACGGGAGGCAGCAGUGGGGAAUAUUGCACAAUGGGCGCAAGCCUGAUGCAGCCAUGCCGCGUGUAUGAAGAAGGCCUUCGGGUUGUAAAAGUACUUUCAGCGGGGAGGAAGGGAGUAAAGUUAAUACCUUUGCUCAUUGACGUUACCCGCAGAAGAAGCACCGGCUAACUCCGUGCCAGCAGCCGCGGUAAUACGGAGGGUGCAAGCGUUAAUCGGAAUUACUGGGCGUAAAGCGCACGCAGGCGGUUUGUUAAGUCAGAUGUGAAAUCCCCGGGCUCAACCUGGGAACUGCAUCUGAUACUGGCAAGCUUGAGUCUCGUAGAGGGGGGUAGAAUUCCAGGUGUAGCGGUGAAAUGCGUAGAGAUCUGGAGGAAUACCGGUGGCGAAGGCGGCCCCCUGGACGAAGACUGACGCUCAGGUGCGAAAGCGUGGGGAGCAAACAGGAUUAGAUACCCUGGUAGUCCACGCCGUAAACGAUGUCGACUUGGAGGUUGUGCCCUUGAGGCGUGGCUUCCGGAGCUAACGCGUUAAGUCGACCGCCUGGGGAGUACGGCCGCAAGGUUAAAACUCAAAUGAAUUGACGGGGGCCCGCACAAGCGGUGGAGCAUGUGGUUUAAUUCGAUGCAACGCGAAGAACCUUACCUGGUCUUGACAUCCACGGAAGUUUUCAGAGAUGAGAAUGUGCCUUCGGGAACCGUGAGACAGGUGCUGCAUGGCUGUCGUCAGCUCGUGUUGUGAAAUGUUGGGUUAAGUCCCGCAACGAGCGCAACCCUUAUCCUUUGUUGCCAGCGGUCCGGCCGGGAACUCAAAGGAGACUGCCAGUGAUAAACUGGAGGAAGGUGGGGAUGACGUCAAGUCAUCAUGGCCCUUACGACCAGGGCUACACACGUGCUACAAUGGCGCAUACAAAGAGAAGCGACCUCGCGAGAGCAAGCGGACCUCAUAAAGUGCGUCGUAGUCCGGAUUGGAGUCUGCAACUCGACUCCAUGAAGUCGGAAUCGCUAGUAAUCGUGGAUCAGAAUGCCACGGUGAAUACGUUCCCGGGCCUUGUACACACCGCCCGUCACACCAUGGGAGUGGGUUGCAAAAGAAGUAGGUAGCUUAACCUUCGGGAGGGCGCUUACCACUUUGUGAUUCAUGACUGGGGUGAAGUCGUAACAAGGUAACCGUAGGGGAACCUGCGGUUGGAUCACCUCCUUA